AUUGAACGCUGGCGGCAGGCCUAACAUAUGCAAGUCGAGCGGAUGAGAGGAGCUUGCUCCUGGAUUCAGCGGCGGACGGGUGAGUAAUGCCUAGGAAUCUGCCUGGUAGUGGGGGACAACGUUUCGAAAGGAACGCUAAUACCGCAUACGUCCUACGGGAGAAAGCAGGGGACCUUCGGGCCUUGCGCUAUCAGACGAGCCUAGGUCGGAUUAGCUAGUUGGUGAGGUAAUGGCUCACCAAGGCGACGAUCCGUAACUGGUCUGAGAGGAUGAUCAGUCACACUGGAACUGAGACACGGUCCAGACUCCUACGGGAGGCAGCAGUGGGGAAUAUUGGACAAUGGGCGAAAGCCUGAUCCAGCCAUGCCGCGUGUGUGAAGAAGGUCUUCGGAUUGUAAAGCACUUUAAGUUGGGAGGAAGGGAUGUAGAUUAAUACUCUGCAAUUUUGACGUUACCGACAGAAUAAGCACCGGCUAACUCUGUGCCAGCCGCCGCCGUAAAAC
rnacentral:rRNA from 1 species